GCCCUGGACCCACGUUUGGAAGAUGUGGAGAGCCCAGAAGAAGUCUGGAGGAGAAUAAUAGACAUGUCGACAGGGAUAGAAAAUAAAGAGACGACUAUAGACUGGACACUCUCCAGAGAGCUGAGCAAGAGAAAACAGAGUUAAAUUACAGAAGCAGCAGUGACAAGUUUCCAGCUUUGGUUUCUGAUCCUGAUUAAGUUCCUGGUCCAUUGCCUUGCAUAUAACAAGAAAAUGGAACAGAACAUUAGGGAAGGAGGCUUCUCGGCGUCUCAGAGUGGCUGACUGGCCUGUGCAGAGGCUGUGCGGCCACCCGGCCCGGCCCCCUCCCGCUGUCAUGGCCGGGGGGACCCUCUGCGCUGCUGUAACCACGAGCGGCUCCUCCCUGGGCGCCAGGACGUCCCUGCCCCGUGCGUGUCUGGAAUAGGCACUUAGAUCAACGCUGACUCUGGAGCCCGUCCCUGGGUCCUGCAGAAGGGGCCAGGAGGUCAGCCAGACGGGGCUUGUCACUGUCUCCCUCCCCUUCCUAUGCCACCAUCUCCCCACAAACCAAAGCUCAGCUUUUGGUCUCGCACAGCCUCUCGUGACCCCACCCGA